GCUGCCCCUUGAAGCAUUGCAGUCCGACUGCAAGUGUCGAGCGUGUGUCAUGAGGGGCGGAGAGUGACCGGUCUAUGCCGAGGAUCCAGAACAAUGAGAGCUUGGCGUGAUUGGCUAGG
ensembl:snoRNA